rnacentral:lncRNA from 1 species
CUAGGCGAUCAUUGGAGCAAUAUUUAGACAGCUCGUCUUAAAUAUAAAGAAAAUACUAUCAUAAACAAGCGUAAUGGCUUUUUUGGGAAGAUGAAAGAUUCAUAUAGUGUGUACAUAAACACCACCCAAAACAUCAAAAAAAAAAAAAUCUCGAAAGGACAUCAGCAAGAUAGACACAUCAGUUUACAUACCACCACUGAAGUGAUCGGCUACAUAACUUGCCAUCCAGUACC